rnacentral:rRNA from 1 species
UACGUAGGGUGCGAGCGUUGCCCGGAUUUAUUGGGCGUAAAGGGCGCGUAGGCGGCCACGCACGUCCGUUGUGAAAUCGCCCGGCUCAACUGGGCGGGGUCGGCGGAUACGGCGUGGCUGGAGCAAGCUAGGGGGCAAUGGAAUUCCCGGUGUAGUGGUGAAAUGCGUAGAGAUCGGGAGGAACACCAGUGGCGAAGGCGGCCGGCUGGGGGUGACCUGACGCUGAGGAGCGAAAGCCAGGGGAGCAAACGGG